GCCCUACGGGGCGCAGCAGGCGCGAAAACUUUACAAUGCGGGAAACCGUGAUAAGGGGACACCGAGUGCCAGCAUCAUAUGCUGGCUGUCCAGAUGUGUAAAAUACAUCUGUUAGCAAGGGCCGGGCAAGACCGGUGCCAGCCGCCGCGGUAACACCGGCGGCCCGAGUGGUGAUCGUGAUUAUUGGGUCUAAAGGGUCCGUAGCCGGUUUGGUCAGUCCUCCGGGAAAUCUGAUGGCUCAACCAUUAGGCUUUCGGGGGAUACUGCCAGGCUUGGAACCGGGAGAGGUAAGAGGUACUACAGGGGUAGGAGUGAAAUCUUGUAAUCCCUGUGAGACCACCUGUGGCGAAGGCGUCUUACCAGAACGGGUUCGACGGUGAGGGACGAAAGCUGGGGGCACGAACCGGAUUAGAUACCCGGGUAGUCCCAGCCGUAAACGAUGCUCGCUAGGUGUCAGGCAUGGCGCGACCGUGUCUGGUGCCGCAGGGAAGCCGUGAAGCGAGCCACCUGGGAAGUACGGCCGCAAGGCUGAAACUUAAAGGAAUUGGCGGGGGAGCACAACAACGGGUGGAGCCUGCGGUUUAAUUGGACUCAACGCCGGACAACUCACCGGGGACGACAGCAAUAUGUAGGCCAG
rnacentral:rRNA from 1 species